CCCGCACCGGGCCCACGGCACGGCCGGCAGCGUGGGCUGGAUCUGCCUAGGCGCGGGAGGGAUCCAUUCACCGGGAAGAAAGUUAUCCCCACGUGCAGCUGGACGUAAUGAAGCUUUCUGUGGAUGUUGCAGAGGUGUGUUUGCAGAGGAAGUUAGUUUCAACGGAUGAUGCAGGUACGAGGUAGACAACAUAUCUUGAAUUACUAAAAAACGCUGUUUGCGUCAGAGUAAUGUCAAAGUGCUUACAGUGCAGGUAGUGAUAUAUAGAACCUACUGCAGUGAAGGCACUUGUAGCAUUAUGUUGACAACUGCCUCAGGAGAUCUUGCAGGACUUCAGAGAAUGGAAAGGUGUUCCUUAUCUUGUGCUGAUUGAACUCAGGUAAAAAUAGAAUAGUUCAGUUGGAAGGGACCUACAACAGUCAUCUAAUCCAACUGCCUUGACCACUUCAAAAAAUUAAAGCACAUUCCUCAGGGCAUUGUCCCAGUGCCUCUUAAAUAUUGUCAGGCUCAAAGCAUUGACUGCCUAUUCAGGAAGCCUGUCUCAGAGUUUGAGCACCUUCGCAGUAAAGAAAUGAUUCCUGAUGCAGCUCUGAACUGUUCCCACAUGUCCUAUGACUGAUCUCAGAAGAGAUCAGCACCUCUCUUUUCACUUCUCCUCAGGAAGCUGUACAGAACAAUGUGGUUGUUCCUCAGUCUCCUCCUUUCCAAACUAAACAACAAAAUCCUCAGUCACGCCUCACAGAACAUACCUUCCAGCCCUUCACCAGCUUGGUUGCUCUCCUCUGGACAUGUACAAGGACCUCAAUAUCCUUCUUAAAUUGUGGACCCAGCACUGCAUACAGCAGUCAGGAUGAGGCCACACCACUGCUGAAUACAGAGGCAAAAGCCGCUCUCUUGACAGGUAGGUCAUGCUGCAUUUGAUGCACCCCAGGGUGUGGUUUGACCUCUUGGAUGCCUGGACACAAGACUGACUCACACUGAUCCUGCUGACAACCAGCAAUAUCAGACCCCUUCCUACAGGGCUGCUCCCCAGCCACUCCUCUCCCAUUUGUCCCGGAUGCAGAAUUUGGUAUUUGGACUUGUUAAAUUCCACCUCCUUGGUGAUUACCCAGUGCUUCAGUCUAUUGAGAUCCUUCUGCAAGGUCUCUUGUUUCUCUAGAGACUCAACACCACUAUCUAGAGUGUCCCAGUUUGGUGUCAUCAGCAAAGUUGCAAAUACUGUGUUCAACUCCACAGAAUGUCAGAGCUUGGGACAACUGAGACAUUUGGCUGCCUUAACUGAGUUAGUAGAGCUUAAUUACAGAAAUUUAUAAUCAAAGUAGGCACUGUAAAGAAAUUAGAGGGAAUUAAAAUGUAUAUUUGAAGACAAAAGUUCAAGAUAAACUUCAAAAACAUCAAGGUGUUCUUUUAGCAGAACACUUUUAAGAGUGUGCUCUGAAGUAACUGAGGUAACUCUGCAUUCAUUCUGCUGAUUUAAUAUAAUAAUUACCUUUAAGUGUUUUAAAAUUCUGAAUAUAAUGGUUUGCAGUAGCAAAUGUAUAAAAUCCAUUAAGAAAGGCUUGUGUGAACUUCUUAUCUAGUGUGUGAGGAAAUGCAUCUGCUGCUUAGUUAUAUGUAACUGUCUUUCAUUUGGGUGUCUAAUUGAAAGGAGAACUGGAAGAGCUUCUAGGGUCUUAGUUAAAUGUCAUAUUUUUAGAGAUGGCAAUAUAAUAAUUUGAGAUAGGUAUCCUUUUUAUGAAAUACAAAGUUUUUAUAAUUUUAAUGAGAUAAAUAUAAUUUUGUGUCUUGAGUAAUGAAGGAAACUCAGUGGUCCUGAAACUUAGCAUGAUGUGUUUUGUAUUUACUAUUCUGGAACAGAAGUUGGGUAGCUGUUGCCAUGUUUGAACAGUUGGUGGCUCCAAUGCUUUGCAGCUAUCACAAUACAUACUGCUGAAACAAGUUAGUUCAAUUCUAGCUGUAGCAAACUAGUUAGAAAUGUAAAAGGAAAAUUGGAAUUAGAAACCAAGUAAAUAGCCAAACACUUGCAACUUGAAUUUAACGCCACUGGGUAAAUAUCCCCUUUUUUAUUCUUAGAUAAGCAUAAACUCCACUAUUGCAGUCUAGCCUAAGAUAAAUUUUAAAAGGGUUCCUUUUCAAAAUGCCUGUUCAUAAUCAGUAGCAAUAUUAUUAAAAACGGCAUAGCUGCCAGCAUUCCUCCUCCAUAUUGCUGGAUUAUAAAGGCAGAAGAAAUUACAGCCAUUAUGACCACGAAAAAGGAGGGAGAGAAUAAUCAAUCCAUUUCUGCAAAAGAGGCAGAGAUGAGCAUUUUAGACAGACUUUAAACUGAGGCUUGCUCAAGUGCUUAUGUACCUAAAAGGGAAAGUUCUUUGGGUGUGGAAAUAAAGGAUUUGGUUGCCACUGGUACUUGAUAAAACAAGAUGACAACUUCUAACACAAGAGCAGGUGCUACUUUUAGCUGUCUUUUCAGUCAUUGCAGGAACGUUUAAUAAAUAUAAAACUUGAAGAUGAAAAAGGUUGUGAAAAAUGUUAGUCCUAGAAAUUUGGAGAAAGUCUUAGAUAAAUGUGUAGACAUGAGACUAAGAAACGUCUGGUGAUGACUUCUUCCAAUUUUUUGACCCCCAAAAAUAUGACUGGAGAGAUGGAACAUGACUCCACAGGUUUUCCAUGUUCUAGAGAAAAGGAAAACGUAGAUUUUUUUUUUGUUUUUGUUUUGUUUUGUUCACCACUGUUGGAAAGCUACAGUCUGUCUGUUUUUGAUGGAAUGUUUGUAUUAUGCCAUCCUGAACUAGUAUACGUACUCUGGUACAGUAUUCUGUCUUGUUUUUCAUCUGGAUUGUUAUUACCGUGUUUUGUUCUUGAAAGUUCUCUAGUUUAUGGUAGAAACAGCACUGCAGGACAAUGACAGGGAAUGCAGCCUUGCAGGUACAGCAUGGCCCUCCAAACCACAGUGAGGUAAAGAGCAGAUGAGAAGACACAGUGAAUGAAAUCAUAUAGUGACCCAAAGUUACACGCAAGUGCAGUUUGGAUGUAGCAUUUUCUUUCUGUAUAGUUGAAUGUUACGUGCUAAAGAAAUUCUGUUUGGGACUGAAAAAGGGGGGGAAAGGAUUUGAGCAGUCUUUAUAAUGUGCAAACUCAAGACCCUUAAUUUUUAUUUUCUUCUGGAGGAAAUGAACAAAAAUUAGCCCUACUGAUUAGAAUUUUUAUGUCCAUUUUGAUUGCUGUAUGGCAUUAUCCUACCCCAGCAAUAUUCCAUCAAACAACAUAACUAGCAAGGUGAAGCAAAAAAAAAGUAUCUGUUCAAUACCUACCCUGACUUCUAUUUUUAAAUUAAGAUUUUUGAACUAAUUUCUUUAUAUUCAAGUCAUCUAAGAGCUGCACUUGAAGACAAGGCUGGAAUAUAGUUAGAGAUACAGUAUUUACUGGAGAACUCCCCUAGCUUUUCUUCUAAGCCUCUAACAUUCUUUUCAAGUAUGUUCUGUGAUCACUUUUUCCUAUUUUUAAUAAUAUUUCUAUUAAUAUUAAUUGUUGAUAAAUUUUAUUGAAACCAGGUAGUACUAAGAUUGAACUUACAUGCUUGUAUUAUCUACACAGAACUCCAGGACAGCCAGUGGACCAUCAGCAGACUAACAUCUCAAAGUAUUUCCAUGCUGCACUAAUUAAUUCUUGUUCCUACAGUGGACUCCGAAGUUGCUCACAUGUAAUAUGUAGCUUCCAUAAAAUACCAAAAAUGGUGUUAAUGCCAUUGAGAAAACGGGAAAAACACACCAAUCUGAGACCCUCAUCCAGGACUAGUCAGCUCAUUAGAGGGGAUCAGUUUGGUUUCAGUUUGUGAAAGGAUUUGUCUUUAAGAAAAAAAUUUUGUGUUAUCUAUGUAUCUUCUUAAGCACACUAUUUUUUUUCUUUAAUGAGGACCCUGGCCUUACUUUUUCCAGGCUGUUUAAUACAAAAUGAGAAGUAAACUUGAAGUAUGCUUCACAAGUAGUUCAAGGAUAACAGUGUUCAUGAAACUUGAAGUGUGGUGGGUGGCUUUGGUAUUCACAUUUAGUAUAUCCACCUGAAGAUUUUUCCCGCAGCUGAGGUGUUUUGGAUAUCUCAUACCUAUAACAGCAGAGAAAUACCUGUUAACACAUAACUAUAUGUACUAGGCAUAUAGCCAUUAACAUCAUUACACAAUUGCCAUAAUUGAGAUCAUUACAAUUGACUUUGCAUUGUGAAUUUCAUUAUCAAGUUAAUAAAGUUUUUGUGCUGGUGGAAGUUGUGUCCUGAAAAAUAUAGACUGAUCCAUAAAAAGAGCUCAUUAUGUGGUUCGGCAGGAGGUUCAACAGCCUUUGAAUAGAAAACUGUGGCAGUAUUUUGUGUGUUUAUAGUGCAGGAAAAAAUCACUGCUAGCAUUUUUAGAUUAAAUUCUUGAUCAUGUGUAGCAAGGGUAUCCCAUUUGGUAGACUGGUGUUCUCGUUUUCCCCAGACCAGCUGCUACAACUACUACAGUGCAUGUUAAAAUAAUAUCAGAGAUGGAUUGCAUAGCCUUGCUACUUAAAAAAAUACAUUAAUAUCUUGCAUGUUCACUUGGGAGGUGGGAAAGUUUGGAGCUGUGUCAAGCAGACAGACAGCUAGUCACUUGAAUCUUGAAUGUAUGAAUGAUAUUAAAGAAAAUGAAGGUGACUCCAUUAAUUUUAUUUGAUACUUAGUUACAUCAGGUGUAACAGAGUUACUGUGUUUUGCUCUAAAUUUGAGACUUGCUAUGAAUUCUUUACAUUAGUGUGUCAAUUCAGGGGAGACCUAAUGGUGAGGUAGGUCACCUAUUCAACACUGGCAGCGUGUAGCUCCUAGUAAUCUAAAAAUAGAUGCAUGGGAGUUGUUACUAAUGGAAACUUAAACCUUUACUGCCUUUCAGGAGUGCCUAUGUCUGUCCUGAUUUUUAAAAUGAAAAGAAAAUAAGAGAUUAAGAGUGUUCACCCCAGAAUAUCUAAGGAAGUCUCCAUGGAAACAGUGUACCUAGCAGUAAGAAGUACUUUUGAGAGUAAAUGGCUGACUGCUGAGCUAUGUUUGAAAUAUAAAUUAUUAAAUGAAUAAAACCUUUAUGAAAAUAAUGUGCAAUUACCUUCUGGAUACAGUACUCUGAAGUCAGUACUGGAAUUUGGAAUUACUGUGAAGAACGGAAGCUGUGUCUGUGUAGGCAGGAUCCCAGGUCUGAACUUCUGCACCCUUUUCCUUUUCAAUAGAAGUGGGAAGUCAGUACUGCAGAGCUCGGGGCCGGGGCGUGUGGGGAUGUAUGACGGGGAGAAGACCUUUCCCCGCACCCCCAUGUCCCCAAGCCGAGGGUGCACCUGCGGGAGCGGGGCAGUCCCCGGGAGCAGCGGCAGGCACAGCACUGCCUCGGCUCUGGCUGCCAGCGGCUGUUCCUGGCUGGCAGCGGCCGGCUGAGUUCACCCGGGAGAUGAAGAGCGUGUGAAGAGUUAUGGAGAGGCCGGACGCUGGGACAGAAGGGAUGUUGGGACCGUAAUGCGCCGGGGAAGCCUCAGCUGAAGUUAAUGGAAGAAUAGCAUCUGCUGCGUGCUUGGGGGCAGGAGGAGCAAUGCUGGUGGUCUGUCAUUGUUGAAGAUGUCCCUGCUCGUCACAGGGGAAUUGGACUAGAGGACCUUUAAAGGUCCCUCCCAAACUUUACUAUGAUUGUAAUGUACUCCUAUGUGGUCUGCAUCUGUUUCCCCAGUGCUCUCUCUCUCAUGUGUCCCUGCCUGAGUUUUCAGCUGACAACUCUUUGUCGUUGGAAGCAUGAAACAGUAAUACCUUUUUCUCAUUAAGAGUUCAAAAAAAUGCAAUUAAAAUUAAUAUUUUCCCUUCUUUAAAAAGCAUCAAAAUAUCCCAACCAACAUUAUUGAGAAUUAUCUCAAAAUCAGGUAAAAGUGUUGCAAGGCUAAUAUAAAUUCUUGAGCUCUGCUUUUAAUGAACGGUUAGAUGAAUUAAGAGUUGUGUGUAAAGUUUUACGGGCCUUACUAAGUUUAUGGUAUCAUUGGUAAAUGUGGCAUUGUUAUGAAUACAAAUGUGUUUGUACCUUUUAGUCCUACUUCACUAGCUUUAUUAUCCCAACCUAAAAUAAGACAACUGUUUGGGUUUGGCUUGUUUUUUUUUUCUUGUCUUUUUGGUUGUGGGUUUUUGGUUUUUUUCUUACUAUCUAUAGAAUUAUUAUAAUAGCUUUGUAUAACUGAAUAAAAAGUUGGUGAUUUGUUGUGUGGUUUUUGUUUUGUUGUUCCUCCCCAUGCUGUUCCUGUAACUUCAAGAAGUUCUAUUUCAGUCCUAGGAUCCCUAUUCUGUUCAAAGACAUACAAAAAUCAAAAGGAUGUUAUCAAAACCAAGAACUUACAGAGUGCGUAUAUUAGAUCAGAAAUAAAAUUUGACACUGGGAGAUGAUGUGAACAUAGCAGUCAACACAGACACUAGUCUGUCUUCUUAAUCAAUAAAGACUGAUUUCCUUCCUUCACUGUGGUAUGUGUAAAAUUAAUAGUCAAAACACUUACUCUUCUAAAUCACUUUUCAAAUCUUUUUACUAUGAGGCAGCUUAAUAGAUGUUUGAACUACUUUCAGAUACAUGAGAAUAAAUAGCAUGAAAGUAUAUGAUCAUUUCAGAAUGUGGAGACAGGUGCUGUAGUCCUUGGGAAGUAGAAACUCCCCUUUGCAUCCUGAGAGGGGACCACUUAGAAGGAUAUGCAACUAAAGCCAAGCAGCUUGUGUUUGACACCAUAAGGAAUAUGAGAAAAGUGAACAUGGUCUAAGCAACAGGUUGGAAAGGGUUAUUUUUGUAGUAGCUCUCUGAAGAGAUGAAAACAGGAAAGGUGGCACAGCCAUAUAAAGUGUUUUCAUUUGUUAGAAGAUGACAGUCCAAAGGAGAACGUCAUUUGUGUAGAUGAGGAGAAAACUUAGCUGUAUUCCAAAAAUAAUAGAAAGCUUCAUUUUAGCUUCCUGUAAUUUAGAGGGAUAAAUUGAAGAUCCUCCUUUGGCAUUGCACCAGUGUUUCAGGUAAUACAGGGGUAUUGUUUGUGAUUAAGGAAAAAGGCAAAGGGAGAAUUUGUAGAAGGAGUAUUCUUAAGUCAUGUUAACAGCUAGAUGUGCAUGAAGAGCCAUCAGGUUUGUAUGUUCAGGCUUUGGCCAAGAAGAUACAAGUCUAGCCAAUGCUAAUGUUCUCUCAUAAACUUCAUAUAUAUGUAUAUAUAUUCUCAUAUUAAAAUAAGAGGAGUUCCUUUUUUUCUGCAAACCUGCUCCAUAACAGGCAUCUCACAGGGUCACAUCCUCCUUCAAGCAUCCACCUGCUCUGGCAUGGGAUUCUGCAUUCUGAAUUCAUUCACAGGUCACAGACCUUUCAACUCCAGUUCAGACUAAAGUUCCAGCCUGUCCAGCACAGCAGGAUAGAACAGCAGCCACCACACUCUGGCCACGUUCCAUCUUUGGAGGCACAUCUGAAUGGCUGUACUCAAGGCAUUCCCAGGCACAAUACAGUAAGGUGAUAAAGCAAAAUACAGUAAGCAAAAGCAAAAUGUGCCUACUAAAAAGCAGUAGAUUCAAAAUACAGUCACAAAAGUAAGCCCCAUGGCAAGAGACAGGAGCCUGCUCAUUACCAGCUAAACAGCACUAGCAAAUAUAAAUUCAGUCUAGCACAUCCUAGAAUAAUUAAUUCUUGAAACUUGUUAGCUAAAAUACACAUUUUAAGCUAAAAUACGCAUUUUAAGCUAAAAUACACAUUUAAAUACACACUAAAAUCAGGGAAGCUUUGAAGCAUAUAACCUGAAAUUAAAUUCAGUCUUCUAAUGGAGCAAAAAAUAAUUAUUUCCUUCACACUUCUUAUGCUAAAGUUAUUAACAAAAAUAAAAAUUGAAAAACCAACUCUCCAAAUCCCCCAACAAACAAAAGCCCACUGCACCUUUUGGACCAAACUAGAAUCUUUCUCAUAUGGUAAGAACUAGUUAAAACAUGUACAUUCAAUUUCUUACCAAAAACCUCCCUCUUCCCUUAAACUGUAAAGCUGGAGGAUAGAGGUUUCUCUGAAUUGCUAUUAGUGGAGGACAUGAGGAAGUACUGGUUCUAUUUGAAGCAAAGGGAUUCUAAAGAUUUCCCAACAUCAUCUAUUGCUGUAGGCAAACUUCCAUGUGGUUGUGGGGUAAAGGAAAAAUCUGUAAGUAGGAAAUCUGUAAGUUUUCUUAACUAGCAAGAUUUUUUUCUAAAUACUAGUACUUUAUUUUUUCAUAAGUUUACUGUGAGUGCUGCACAUCUUAUAUUAGGUGUUGCGGAUGGCAUUUCAUCAUUUCCAGAAUUUGCUCUACCAUCUUCAAGUUGUUGAAUGAGAUCCUAUAUUCUCUGGCUCCCAUGUUCAGGUUGUUUUCUCCAGUGGUAUUUUUCAGUAUCUUAAAAAAGACUAUUUUAUUUAAUGGCAAGGAGUUCACUGCCUACUACCAGCUUCCAUACAAGACAUUGCAAUUUUUUUUUUUAAUUUUAAUCUAAAGCAAAUCUUUUUAUUUGCUAGAGGACUCACUGUUUUCUUCCCUCCCUCCCCUGUUUUUUUCAUGGGGGCUUAAAAUGUCUUUUGCUGUAGUGUGCUUUAUCAAGAAGAUUGUAACCUGUCAUCUGUGUACACUCUUUAUACAUCAAUGUAUAAGAAAAGUACAACAAAUUCUAUUAAAGGACAUUUAAUAUAAUCUAUGUUGGAGCUUGCUGACAGAAGGAAGUUGCCAAGCCUAGGAGUAUGAAUGAUUGAGAAAUACCAGUCCUCUCCCCUUCUUAUGGGCUCUCAUUCAGCAGACUGGAAAUGGCAUUGUUUUAUUGCUUGCUCAGUAGUGGUUGAUCUCUAGUGCAAAUUUUAAUAACUUAUGUUUUGGUUUGUUAACUGUAUUAAAAUAAAUGCGUGGAAUAAUCUACA